AAGGUAGCGUAAUCACUUGUUCUCCAAAUAAGGACUAGUAUGAACGGUUAAACGAGAAUCUAACUGUCUCCUGCAAGCAGCCAAUGAAAUUGAUCUUCCUGUGCAAAAGCAGGAAUGACCCCACCAGACGAGAAGACCCUGUGAAACUUAAACCCACUAAGUUAAACCAACAACAUUAACUGCAACACCCACGACUGUUGAAACCUGACUUAACGUUUUCGGUUGGGGUGACCCUAAAACAAAGAAAAACUUUUAAGACAACUAUAACUAAGCCCGAAUUAUUAACCAAGACCCACCCCUCAAAGUACUUAAAUGUAAUUAGAUCCGACAACGUCGAUCAACGGACGAAGCUACUCCAGGGAUAACAGCGCAAUCCCCCUCAAGAGCUCAUAUCGACAGGGGGGUUU
rnacentral:rRNA from 1 species